UGGGUUCUUCAGGAGAAACACGCUCCACUG
rnacentral:piRNA from 1 species